rnacentral:rRNA from 1 species
AAAGAAACCAACAGGGAUUGCCUCAGUAACGGCGAGUGAAGCGGCAAGAGCUCAAAUUUGAAAGCUGGCCCCCUCGGGGUCCGCGUUGUAAUUUGCAGAGGAUGCUUCGGGUGCAGCCCCCGUCUAAGUGCCCUGGAACGGGCCGUCAUAGAGGGUGAGAAUCCCGUCUGGGACGGGGUGUCUGCGUCCGUGUGAAGCUCCUUCGACGAGUCGAGUUGUUUGGGAAUGCAGCUCUAAAUGGGUGGUAAAUUUCAUCUAAAGCUAAAUACUGGCCGGAGACCGAUAGCGCACAAGUAGAGUGAUCGAAAGAUGAAAAGCACUUUGAAAAGAGAGUUAAACAGCACGUGAAAUUGUUGAAAGGGAAGCGUUUGCGACCAGACUCGCCCGCGGGGUUCAGCCGGCAUUCGUGCCGGUGUACUUCCCCGUGGGCGGGCCAGCGUCGGUUUGGGCGGCCGGUCAAAGGCCCUCGGAAUGUAUCACCUCUCGGGGUGUCUUAUAGCCGAGGGUGCAAUGCGGCCUGCCCGGACCGAGGAACGCGCUUCGGCUCGGACGCUGGCGUAAUGGUCGUAAAUGAC